rnacentral:lncRNA from 1 species
AAAAAAAAAAGAAAAACAAAACAUUAUUUAUCGAACAAAACAGAGAAACUAUCUAAUGGGCAAAAGUCUGAAAGUUUUCAAACUUCAAACGAUAAUAACCAUGACUCUGUAAAUGGGAAAAUCUUGUAUACACAGGUAAAAGAGACAGUGAUCCAAUCUUUGAUGAAAUAAAUAUCUGUCACGUACAUUCUCAUGCAUAUCUCGAGCUGUGAUAAAGAUUCUCAUUAACAAUGAUGAUAAAUAUUGCAGAACGCUUUGAGAAACUCGGUUGUUCGAGAGAGACGAGAUGGUCAUCCAUGGAAGAACGAAGAGAGUUAAUUGGCUGAAUCGAAUUAAGAGUCAGCCAAUAUUUUCAUCGCUGCAAUUCUCUAAUUAGCCGCGGACGAAUUGACCAAUUGUUUCCACCAGUUUGCACGUCCGCCUCUCGUUAACGACGAGUCAUCGACAAAAGGGAGCACCAUACGAUUUUAUAAAAAAAAUCUCAUCAUUCCAUUUCAAUAGUACUGUUUGGAUAGAUUCAUUGUUUUGUAUUCUCAUCUUAUAUAAAAUUUUUUUUUUUUGUUACAGAAAAAAUGAGGAAAGAAAGGAUUAUAUUUAAAAUUUUUACAAACCUUUUAGAAACCUUGAUGCUAUUUUUGAUAACAAUCUAUUAAUUAUUUAAGAUAGAAUUUACCACACUGAUAGAGAUGAGAAUUGUUACUUUUCAAUUUGCUCACGUGAGAAAUAAGAAUUCUAGGUUUGUUUGUUAAAUAUUGAAAUAGAUAAGCAUGAUAAUGAAUGUGUGCAAUUUUAAUCAAACAAAGUCUAAUCGCUAUACGAUUAUGCAAUAAGUCAAUAAGGCGCGAUGAACAAGCUUAUAGAAAUUUAUGAAGUAAAAUGUACAAUUGGACACGUUCCAGAAAACGUGAAAGCAGGAAAUCACAUAACAAUAAUAGUGAAAAAACUAUUAUGGAACAAUAGAAUUUCCUCUAAAGGAAAGAAGAUUAUUACAAUCUAUCAAUAAUAAUAACAAAAUUCUAAUAUUCCACAAUCUAAGUUCCUUAACCUUCGAAGAAAAAGAAUAUUUGGAAAACAAAGAAAAAAUUUUUCCUCACUUCAUGGAAAUCAUUUUUCAAAGGAACGAUUUUAUGCAUCGAAGAAAAUAUCUGUCACUAGCAACGACCUUAUCAGUCAACAGCUUAUCAUCGACCUCACGUAGUUGAGGACAGGUUUAUGACUUGACUGCUGGAAUCGCGAACAAGUGUAUCUCCGUUACCUCAAACGGUUCCUCUUUUCUUAAUACCUCUUUUUGACGUAGACACAUUCUUGUUUUGAGAAAACUAAGACAAAGCAGAAUAUUUGCAAAACAUAUGCGAAAAGAGACACGAUUUUCCGAACGUGGUAUAACUAUAUAUUGUCUUAUAAUCGCGAAAGAAGAUUCGAGACACGUGUGAAGACGGACAAACAGCACCGAUUCAACUUCAAAGAAAUUUCUUUAACGUCGACACGAUGUCGAAUUGACAACUGAUGAGUUAUUUCUUCAGAUUCUUUUGAGAUUUCUUGAAAAUUGUUGAACAAAACGACUUAAAGACGAAUGAUCUUUUAAUUUAAAAAUGAGAAUUUUGAAAGAAAGUUUAUUUACUUUAUAUAUAUAACAAUAUUAAUUUAAAAUACAAAAUUCAUAAACAAAUGUCUAAUUAUGAGUGAAAGGAAAUCUCAUAUAUUUUAAUAGAAACUUUACGUUAAACCAUAGUUUCAUAUCUAAACAAAUGCAUAACUUAGUAACACCUUCGCCAGACAGAUUUCUCGUCAAAUAAUAACGAUAUCUUUUGAAACGACAACUUUCAUCAACGACAACAGCUUUCACAUCGACAAAUAUAGAAUUCCAUUUCAUAGGAUCGAAUUCAGUCCGAAUUUUGAUACGAAGCCCAUCAAAACAUGAACGAAUUUGCGACAAAAUGAUUUAUCUUGUUAUAAAAGUAUAUCUAAAAUCGAGGGAAAUAUCGUUUCUGGAAAACAGCAAUAUCAUUGAGAUCCUAAAUGCUCGUUAACCUAUCUAUCGAAACCGAUUUUAACGCUUUUGGAAUAAAUGAUUAUGCAUGCAGAUAGCACGAUCCCACGAUUACCACUCAUUACGCCGAGUUGUUCCAUCGGGAACGACACGAUAUCGGCGGUACAAUCACGGCCAAAUUGCCUUUGGACGAUAAUGUUCGGAGAAAUGACCGAAACACCGAUGCACUCGAUGCAUCCGUAAAAAAAAGUAACGCGAGAAUCACGAUUAUGGGUAUCCAAAGAGCCAAAACGAAAUUUGAUUCGAUACUUGGUUAAUUCUGGAUUAAGUGAUGGGCGCAAGUAAUAUUGCAAGUAAUAUGAUCUUUCAUGAAUAAUGAUAGAAAUGAAUCUUCUUUAUUUGAAGAUUAAAUAAGAUAAUCUCUUAUGAGUAAAUAGUAAUCGAAAUUGAAUGAAAUGUGUAAAUGUGAAUGAAAUUAAAUUUUUAUAUUGAAAAUGAAAUAUGAUGAGUAAAAACUCAUGAGGCAAACUUUUUAUAUUGAAAAAUUAAAUAUGAUCUCUUACGAGUAAUCAAACUCUAUGCAGUGAAUAUUUUAUAAUGAAAUAAUGAAUUUUUUUAUGAAUCGAAUUCUUAAAAUGAAUGGAAAAGUGAAAUAAACUAAACAAAUUAACAUUUCACAAUCUAAGCACAUAAAAAAAAAAAAACAAAAAACGUGAUUUCUUACAGGUAUUAAAAUUAAAGAUGGAAUUUUAUUUGUAUUCGUGUGUACGUAUAGAACUUAAUCCCAUCGCUAACUCGAGCCAAUUUCCAACGAGAGAACCCUCUCUUAAAUCGACGAAAAUUACUGGUUACUCAAACGACCCUCCAUGAAAUGUGAAAACCUGUGUAUAUUCGAAGGGACCAUGCUCGAUCGAAGGACGUUGAGAACGUGUUAUGCAAGAGGCUUCGCAUAUAUUUAUAUAUGUUAAUAAAUAAAAUUUUCUCGAACAAAGAAAAACUGAAAUAAUUGCUGUCUGAAAUACAGAAAUCGAGCGAGUAGUACGCGUGCAACUUUCACUCUUGUCUUGGCACGUUCCAAGGAACAAAAAUUGACUUGUCGCACAAACGUUCGCCUGAUCUGGGUUGCGAUUGUUUCUGAGAAACCGAGCACGACAAUUCGAAGAUAUUUCACGAAAAAUAGAGUGACCAGAUGAUCUCGGGGUUAUCUCAGUGGGGAGAUAUCUUGUGAACAUAAUAAAAUGGAUAUUUAUGGAUAUUGUGCUUGAUAUUGUGAAGAAAUAUUUUCUUAUUGUAGUUAGAAGGAAAACUGAAAGAAAUACAGGAUUUCAUGAAUUUUAUUGAGUAAUAUUUUGUAUGAUAUUUGAUAUCGGAUUUGAAAGGUUUCUUGAACAAUGAAAAUCUUUAAAAUUAAAGGUAAUAUUUCUUUUUCCUUAAUAAUUCUAAUUCUGAACAUAACAAAUUUAUUUCUUAUUUAUUCUAUAAUAUAUGUCAUGAAUUAAAUUAUCAUUUUUACGAAAAUUUGUCAACAUAAAAGAGUUCUGAAUAAAAAAAAAGUAUGGAAAAUUGUUAGAUAGGAUCAUAUAUAUGAUGUAGUAUGCGUGUGGUUAAUAAUUUCUUUAUUAUUAAAAUUAGCUGUGUAGGAUAAGAUCUUCAAUAAAUUUGUUUUCUCAAGAUCUAUAUCAGAAAAUAAUAGCAUAUAAUCAUAUAUUAUUAUUCUAAAAUUUGCAUGUGAAACAACGUGAAAACAUCAAUAGAUAUAAUUUUGAACUUAGUUACCAAAAUUAAAAAAAAAAUCAUUUAUACAAAUAUAUUGUGUGUGUAAUUUCAAGUGGAAAGUGAGACUGACAGGAAUCAAUAAAAAUCGUUCGUGAGAUGUUUCUUGAAAGCGAAAGUUCGUAAAUUUCGUUGCUCACCGAAUUCUUGUAUCUUCCUUUUUUUGCGAGAGUUUCUUUCAACACGUUCCAUAAUUGAUCCAUUACAAAUAACAGAGAUGAAAGAAAUGUAUUUUCAAGGAAAUAUAUUUUUAACAAAUUAAAUUUUUCGUUGUUUGAUUUAUUAUCUGCAAUAUAGGUCCUGCGCUUAUUCUUAAAACAAAAAAUAUUU